rnacentral:rRNA from 1 species
AUGAUGGAGCAGAUGAAGACGGUGCGGGACGCCAGCCAGGCCACCUACGAUGCUAGCUCGGCUCUCCAGAGCAACGUUCAGAAAUCUUGUGAUCUUGGAGCUCGCUUUGCUGACUUGGAGAGACAGCAGAUCCAACUGAACCUUGACUUGGAGCUGGCCAAGACAAAACUGCAAAAAGUCAAGGACGGCGCCACUGCUCUGACGAAGAAGGAUCAGGAUUUGGCUGCUGCUCGCAAGGAAGCUGACGACAUAACUGCUCUGGCUGAACAGAAGCUGGCUUCGGUCGACCAGUUGGAAGAAGAGAAUACCAGGCUGAAAUCUGCUCUGAACAAAGCCAACAAGGAGUGCUCACGCUGGAAGAAGGAGAACCUCAACCUGGGCGAGAAGAUGGAAGGCAUCGCUCGCAGGAGGGACGAUCUGGAGAGCUAUCUAAGGAGCCUUGCCAAGAAGUUGUUCAUCAAGAUUGAAGUUUUGCCAGAACUUCGAGCAGGAGACUGGGCGGAUCGAACCUGGUUUGGAUCGAAUCAAUUCUCCCGUGAAAGAUGA